GACUGUCCGUGGACACUGGUUUUUAAGCCCAAGAACUGAAUAUACAGUAGCAGUGCAGACUGCCUCAAAACAAGUUGAUGGUGAUUAUGUUGUGUCUGAAUGGAGCGAAAUUAUAGAAUUCUGCACCGCAGACUAUUCAAAAGUUCAUCUAACACAAUUGUUGGAGAAGGCUGAAGUGAUUGCAGGACGCAUGCUUAAGUUUUCUGUUUUUUAUCGUAAUCAGCACAAAGAAUAUUUUGACUAUGUUCGGUAAGAUUCAAAAAUAUAUAGUGAUUUGUUUUACUAAAUAUAGUUUCAAAUUCUAGGCUCAGG
rnacentral:sRNA from 1 species